UUGCAUUUGAAAAGAUUUCCCCACAUUAGCCUCCAUUGCAAGCUAGUUCCAGUCCAAUACCGAGAAUACGAAUAUAGUCCAUUCUACACCAAAAAAAGU